rnacentral:rRNA from 1 species
AGCGAACGCUGGCGGCAGGCCUAACACAUGCAAGUCGAACGACCCUUUCGGGGUUAGUGGCGGACGGGUGAGUAACACGUGGGAACGUGCCUUUAGGUUCGGAAUAACUCAGGGAAACUUGUGCUAAUACCGAAUGUGCCCUUCGUGGGAAAGAUUUAUCGCCUUUAGAGCGGCCCGCGUCUGAUUAGCUAGUUGGUUUAGGUAAUGGCUCACAAAGGCGACGAUCAUUAGCUGGUCUGGGGGGAUGAUCAGCCAAAUUGGAACUGGGACACGGCCCAAACACCAAAGGAAGGGAGCAAGGGGGAAUCUGGCGAAAGGGGUGAAAGCCGAAGGCAGCCAGGCCGGGGAAAUAAUGAGGGGGUUAGGAAAAGAAAAUGUUUUAACCGGGGAAGAUAAGAAGGGACCCCAAGAAAAAACCCCGGCUAAAUUCGUG